AGUACGUGAUCGUCCAUAUAAAAAGAGAAAGCGUUUUUCCACUUCUAAAUAUUUUCCAUUCUCCAUGAUUUUUUUCGUUCCGUAGCCAAAUGGCAAAAAACGGAACCCUUAUGGAUUCGUCAUGUCUGUCUGUCUGUCCGUCCGUAUGUCACAGCCACUUUUUCCGAAAUUAUAAGAACUAUACUGUUGAAACUUGGUAAGUAGAUGUAUUCUGUGAACCGCAUUAAGAUUUUCACACAAAAAUAGAAAAAAAAACAGUAAAUUUUUGGGGUUAUAAAAAUAUAAUAUGAUGUACAUUACUGUACAAACUUCCACCGAAAAUUGGUUUGAACGAGAUCUAGUGAGUAGUUUUUUUUAAUACGUCAUAAAUCGUAAA